rnacentral:rRNA from 1 species
UUGUCCCAGCCGCCGCGGUAAUACGGAGGGUGCAAGCGUUAAUCGGAAUUACUGGGCGUAAAGCGCACGCAGGCGGUCUGUCAAGUCGGAUGUGAAAUCCCCGGGCUCAACCUGGGAACUGCAUUCGAAACUGGCAGGCUAGAGUCUUGUAGAGGGGGGUAGAAUUCCAGGUGUAGCGGUGAAAUGCAUAGAGAUCUGGAGGAAUACCGGUGGCGAAGGCGGCCCCCUGGACAAAGACUGACGCUCAGGUGCGAAAGCGUGGGGAGCAAACAGGAUUAGAUACCCUGGUAGUCCACGCCGUAAACGAUGUCGAUUUGGAGGUUGUGCCCUUGAGGCGUGGCUUCCGGAGCUAACGCGUUAAAUCGACCGCCUGGGGAGUACGGCCGCAAGGUUAAAACUCAAAUGAAUUGACGGGGGCCCGCACAAGCGGUGGAGCAUGUGGUUUAAUUCGAUGCAACGCGAAGAACCUUACCUGGUCUUGACAUCCACAGAACUUUCCAGAGAUGGAUUGGUGCCUUCGGGAACUGUGAGACAGGUGCUGCAUGGCUGUCGUCAGCUCGUGUUGUGAAAUGUUGGGUUAAGUCCCGCAACGAGCGCAACCCUUAUCCUUUGUUGCCAGCGGUUAGGCCGGGAACUCAAAGGAGACUGCCAGUGAUAAACUGGAGGAAGGUGGGGAUGACGUCAAGUCAUCAUGGCCCUUACGACCAGGGCUACACACGUGCUACAAUGGCAUAUACAAAGAGAAGCGACCUCGCGAGAGCAAGCGGACCUCAUAAAGUAUGUCGUAGUCCGGAUUGGAGUCUGCAACUCGACUCCAUGAAGUCGGAAUCGCUAGUAAUCGUAGAUCAGAAUGCUACGGUGAAUACGUUCCCGGGCCUUGUACACAACCGCCCGUCACACCAUGGGAGUGGGUUGCAAAAGAAGUAGGUAGCUUAACCUUCGGGAGGGCGCUUACCACUUUGUGAUUCAUGACUGGGGUGAAGUCGUAACAAGGUAACCAAUCGA